AUUUUGGUAGCUUAAUUUUUAGAGCAUAGCAUUGAAGCUGCUAAGGUGAGCACAUUCGCUCCCAGGAUA
rnacentral:tRNA from 1 species